rnacentral:rRNA from 1 species
UACGGAGGGUGCAAGCGUUAUCCGGAUUCACUGGGUUUAAAGGGUGCGUAGGCGGGUAAGUAAGUCCGUGGUGAAAUCUCUGAGCUUAACUCAGAAACUGCCGUGGAUACUAUUUGCCUUGAAUAUUGUGGAGGUGAGCGGAAUAUGUCAUGUAGCGGUGAAAUGCUUAGAUAUGACAUAGAACACCAAUUGCGAAGGCAGCUCACUACACAAUCAUUGACGCUGAGGCACGAAGGCGUGGGGAUCAAACAGG